UACGUAGGGGGCAAGCGUUGUCCGGAUUUAUUGGGCGUAAAGAGCGUGUAGGCGGCCAUGCAGGUCCGUUGUGAAAACUCGAGGCUCAACCUCGAGACGCCGGUGGAAACCGUAUGGCUAGAGUCCGGAAGAGGAGAGUGGAAUUCCUGGUGUAGCGGUGAAAUGCGCAGAUAUCAGGAAGAACACCCGUGGCGAAGGCGGCUCUCUGGGACGGUACUGACGCUGAGUGCGCGAAAGCCAGGGGAGCAAACCGGG
rnacentral:rRNA from 1 species